CCUACGGGUGGCAGCAGUGGGGAAUAUUGCACAAUGGGCGAAAGCCUGAUGCAGCAACGCCGCGUGAGCGAUGAAGUCCCUCGGGUCGUAAAGCUCUAUCCGCAAGGAAGAUAAUGACGGUACUUGACUAUGAAGCCCCGGCUAACUACGUGCCAGCAGCCGCGGUAAUACGUAGGGGGCUAGCGUUAUCCGGAUUUACUGGGUGUAAAGGGUGCGUAGGCGGAUUCCGAAGUCAGAGGUGAAAUGCUAGGGCUGAACCGUAGUAAGCCUUUGAAAAUGGGCAACUUGAGUGCAGGAGGGGAGAGUGGAAUUCCUAGUGUAGCGGUGAAAUGCGAAGAUAUUAGGAGGAACACCAGUUGCGAAGGCGGC
rnacentral:rRNA from 1 species